AUGAGCUCCUACAGCCUUCCGAAGACUCUUCAUCACGAGAUUGCCACCGUUCAGGGGCGUUUUUUCUGGGCCGGCGAGGGUGAUAAGCAGAAGUACCACAUGGUCAGGUGGCCUGAGAUCUGCAAACCUCGCUACCAGGGCGGACUCGGGAUUAUGUCCUCCAAAUGCAUGAACAUUGUCCUCCUGACUCGGUGGCUCUGGCAGAUUGCCAAUGGGGAUGGUGGUCUGUGGCUUCGCAUCAUUCAGCAGAAAUACCUUCGCGGCCAGCCCCUCGCCUUCUGCAAGCGGUCUGGGGGCUCCCAGUUCUGGCAAUCCAUCAUUUAG
rnacentral:rRNA from 1 species